CGAAGGGGGCUAGCGUUGCUCGGAAUCACUGGGCGUAAAGCGCACGUAGGCGGAUCUUUAAGUCAGGGGUGAAAUCCUGGAGCUCAACUCCAGAACUGCCUUUGAUACUGGGGAUCUCGAGUCCGGAAGAGGUGAGUGGAACUCCGAGUGUAGAGGUGAAAUUCGUAGAUAUUCGGAAGAACACCAGUGGCGAAGGCGGCUCACUGGUCCGGUACUGACGCUGAGGCGCGAAAGCGUGGGGAGCAAACAGGAUUAGAUACCCUGGUAGUCCACGCCGUAAACGAUGGAUGCUAGCCGUUGGCGGGUUUACUCGUCAGUGGCGCAAAAAGCUAACGCAUUAAGCAUCCCGCCUGGGGAGUACGGUCGCAAGAUUA
rnacentral:rRNA from 1 species